rnacentral:sRNA from 1 species
ACAUUUAAGCACGGGGAUCUAUGUGAGGAAUGGAAAAGAGCAUCAUGCUGGGGUUUGGAGAUCUGGGCUCUUUUUGUUGUCCGCACAUCAGCCACCGUGUGAUUUUAUAUACUUCGAAUUUCUGGCUAUCAGUCCAUUCAUCUGUAUGAUCUGCGGGCUAACCCACGUCAUCACUUUCUAAUAGCUCACUUCGAUGGAUGUACACUAAUAUGCAGUAACUUAAAUUUAUUUGGGGAUUGGAUCAACUUUUUGUGUGUGGAGCAUCUCGCAAGGCUGGCGUGGUGCGGUGCAUGCUGGGAAACACUGCCUUACGUCAUCCCUCAGAAGCCCCUCGGAGCGCCGAUCUGCCUGCUGAGCCUGCGAGCAGUGCAACCUCAAGAGCAUUUCAUAACCUUGCUGCGCUUCAGUUCCGUGUUCACAAAACAAGGGUGAGUUGAAAAACUAUUUCAUUGGUCCGCUCCUCUAGAGGUGGCUGGAACCUACUGUCCCAGUAGUCAUGGAUAUGAAACAGAGAUGCCGCUGCGUAGAGUGGAAGCCAGCCUGGUCACGUGGAGAGGACUGACGGGGAACCCGUGUGAGCACCUGAGAGGUUGAACAAGAAGCCAGAAGAGAAAACUGAUCAGGAGCUGCCAAUUUUUUCCCUCUACUAGGACUGGUCCCUGUGAUACACACAGUGUGCGGAACACUCAGAUCCUGUACAGCAAUAUUAGAUUUGCUCAGAACUCCAGUUACAGCCUGUCACUGCAGAGAAGUCGAGGCAAAGCUUAAUGAUGUCAACUAGUCAAGAACUGAGAGAGAAAGUCAGGUGCGGUGGCACACGCCUUUAAUCCCAGAACUCAGGAGACAGAAGCAGGCCCAUCUCUGGGAGCUUGGGGCCAUCUUGAUCUACACAGUGAGUUCUAGGACAUAUAGAGGUAAUAGUGAGACCCUGUCCAAAAACCAAAACCAAAUGAACAUCCCAAAGCCGCAGAGAGUGAAGGCUUGCAAACUCAUCUCUCAACGAAUUUUCUCUACUCUUACACGUGGCAGGACCCCAACCCAGGGAGCAAUGCUGUCCUCAGUGGGAAAGUCUUCUCAUCUCAACUCCCAAGUUGAUCGUAAUCUCUUCGUAGAAAGCCUCCGUGUUCUCGUUUACUUCAAAUCCCUUCUUGGGUGUAAUUGGGAUCAUGAUUGACUUCGCCCACUGAAAGCAUUCAAUUAUAUGCUUGCUGAAGGAUUGGGGAAGAUCGUGUGGUUACUUCAACCCAAGCUCAGAAGGCAGCCGUCCUCAACGUAACUGCUGAGAAGCUAUUUGCCCUAUAAAGGAAUUCUAUAGGACAAAAAUGGCAUUCCCAAAUCGGAGAAAGACAUCUGAGUCCUCAGAAAGAAAACAACUUCUUCUUAGCACCGCAUUCAGAAAUAAAUUUCUGGUAAGUAUCUUAAUAGUUUAGGUACACCUAAAAGUUUAAAACACAAGGAUUUGAUGUCCUUGGGCAUGGAGGAAAAAGAGAGGAUAGAGUAGAAUAGGAUGCUCUUGUGUGAAAAAGACAUAACAGGAAAAGCUACAGGAAUCAAGGAAGGCUUGAAGAAAAUGUUCGUGAUAUGCAUAUGAUUACCAUUAGACACAUUUAAAUCACUAAUAUAUAAGAACCAAGUCGCUGAGGGUGUGAAAUGGCACUGCCACUGUAGAAAAUGGGGCGGGGACUGCUCAAGACAUUAACAUCAAACUUGCCAUGUGACCCAGGAGUCCCACUUCUAGGCAUGUAAGCAAGAGAAGGACAAGAGGUUCUUAAACACUCGACACCUGCGACCCACGGCAAUCGGGGCAUUCCUAAGUUGACUGCUUCUGGGGCACUGAAGGAAGCACAAGUGAAGACAGCACAACGCACACAUGCAGGACGCCGUUCAACCUUAAGGAAGGAAGUCUAAGCCCAGACUAAGGAUCCAGGUCCACCAUCCCAGCUGCUAGCAAGCUGAAGCAGGAGGAUCUCAAGUUCAAGACCUGCCUGCUUGACUCUUCACCCCCAAGAUGUGUUUCCCCUGACUCCCAUCUUCCCGGAGGUGAGCUCUUCUGCAUCGAAAUCUCUGAAGUGAUUAGUCAAAAUGAAUUUUCCCGGCUUUACAUGAUCUAUGUCUGUAUUUUGUCAAAGAAGCUAGCUGUGGUGCUGGAGGGAUGGCUUAGCAGUUAAGAACACGCACUGCUCUUCCAGGAUACAAGUUCCAGUCCCGGUACCCACACUACCUGGAAUUCCAGCUCUUGGGGAUCUCGAGUCCUCUUCUGGCCUUCAGGAGUGCUGCACUCAUGUGACAUACACUCACGCACAUACACACACCUAUUAAUAAAGUAAUAAAAACAAACCUUUAAAAAUAACCCUUAGCUAGCACAAGUGGCGUUCUGUUCAGUGUUCGUGAGGUCUCACAUCGAUUUUGUUCUAUACUGCAUGUGAGAACGCACUGUAAAAGGCUAAAGACCUACAUGGGAGGUAUUUAUAUCGAAACUAAGAAUGAGAAGUAGUCUAACCUGCUUUAAAAAAAAAACACAGUCAACUACUUUAAUAAAAUAAACUUUGAAAGCCUGCACAGAACAGAAUGUGCCCCGCCCUGGGUGGCUCUAUCUUGGAAACCUGGUUGGAGCCAAACAGGACUGAAGAAAUGACAGGCACGUGAGGACACACACAGAGAGGCUGGGCUUGGGUGGACUGCGCUUGCUCCGACAGAGGGCGCUGCUUCCGCACUAGGUAACUCAGGAAGUUCAUCUUCUACAGCUCAAGCAGGAAGGGUUAGAUAGUCUUGGUAGGAUGUCUCUGGAGGCGCCAGAGGAAGGCUUUGCCAAUUUCCAGAGGCUGACCUGGAAAAGUCUUUUCUAUUCUCCUGAGUCGGAGGCAUGGGAUGUGUCCUUGACUUGGCUCUGCCCACAUCUACAAUACAUGUUCUGUCAGGAUUUCAUCCGCUCCCCGCUCCCCGCUCCCCACAAGAAUGACUCUUCAUGCCACUCACAUGAGUUGGGUUUCAUUACUGUGACUAGAAAAACCAGAAGCAGUCAACUUAGAAUUACGGAAAACUAAUUUUGGCGCACAACCUUGGCAGUUUGGAGCUCUGAUCAGUUGGUCCCUUCCCUAUGUACCUGUGGCGAGAUGAUGCAUCGUGGCGGGACUGUGUGACCGAGAAAGAGGCUUACUUCGUGGCAUCUCAGAAGUGAAAAAGAAAGAAGCGGGGAAGGGGCUAAGGUCCCAUAUCCUCUUCGAGGGCAUACAUACUGCGGUGGUUUAAAUAUGCUUGGCCCAU